UACGUAGGGUGCAAGCGUUGUCCGGAAUUAUUGGGCGUAAAGAGCUCGUAGGCGGUUUGUCGCGUCUGCUGUGAAAACUCGGGGCUUAACUCCGGGCCUGCAGUGGGUACGGGCAGACUAGAGUGCGGUAGGGGAGACUGGAAUUCCUGGUGUAGCGGUGAAAUGCGCAGAUAUCAGGAGGAACACCGGUGGCGAAGGCGGCAUCCUGGACCGGCAUGACGCUGAUGAGCGAAAGCUAGGGGAGCAAACGGG
rnacentral:rRNA from 1 species